CAGGAAAUCACAGUACCUGAUGUGACAAAGCAGACUGAUGAUAUCAAUGAGCACAGUCAGGAAAUCUCAGCACCUGACAUGACAACGCAGACCAGUGAUGGUAGUGACCACUUUCAGGCAACCGGGGGAAUGCUAAACAUAA